GGUCCUGCCAGUAGUCAUACGCUCGUCUCAAAGAUUAAGCCAUGCAUGUGUAAGUAUAAAUAAUUCUACUUUGAAACUGCGAAUGGCUCAUUAUAUCAGUUAUAGUUUAUUAGAAAUAAUUUACUACUUGGAUAACCGUAGUAAUUCUAGGGCUAAUACAUGAGUAAAUCCUCGACUUUGAAGAGGUGUGUUUAUUAGUAUGAAAACCAUAUGCUUUGGCAUGAUAGUGAGUAAUAAUAACCUUUCAUAUCGUAUGUUGUAAUAACGAUAGUUCUUUCAAGUUUCUGCCCUAUCAGCUUUCGAUGGUAGUGCAUUGGACUACCAUGGCAGUAACGGGUAACGAAGAAUUUGGGUUCGAUUUCGGAGAGGGAGCCUGAGAGAUGGCUACCACAUCCAAGGAAGGCAGCAGGCGCGUAAAUUACCCAAUCCUGACAUAGGGAGGUAGUGACAAUAAAUCACAAUGCGGGACUUUUAGUUUUGCAAUUGGAUUGAGAACAAUGUAAAAGAGUUAUCGAUAAACAAUUGGAGGGCAAGUCUGGUGCCAGCAGCCGCGGUAAUCCAG
rnacentral:rRNA from 1 species